GUGCUCGGUUCGGCAGCAUGUACACUAAAAUUGGAACGAUACAGAGAAGAUUAACAUGGACGCCUCGCAAGGAUGACACGCAAAUUCGUGAAGCAUUCCAUAUUAAA
ensembl:snRNA U6 U6 spliceosomal RNA